UGGGGAAUUUUGCACAAUGGGGGAAACCCUGAUGCAGCGACGCCGCGUGAUUUAGAAGGCCUUCGGGUUGUAAAAAUCUUUUCUAUGGGAAGAAAAUGACAGUACCAUAGGAAUAAGGACCGGCUAAUUACGUGCCAGCAGCCGCGGUAAUACGUAAGGUCCGAGCGUUGUCCGGAAUCAUUGGGCGUAAAGGGUACGUAGGCGGGUAAGCAAGUUAGAAGUGAAAUCCUAUAGCUCAACUAUAGUAAGCUUUUAAAACUGCUCAUCUUGAGGUAUGGAAGGGAAAGUGGAAUUCCUAGUGUAGCGGUGAAAUGCGCAGAUAUUAGGAGGAAUACCGGUGGCGAAGGCGACGUUCUGGGCAUAACCUGACGCUGAGGUACGAAAGCGUGGGUAGCAAACAGG
rnacentral:rRNA from 1 species